CCCUUAGACGUUCUGGGCCGCACGCGCGCUACACUGACGAAGGCAGCGAGCUUUCCUUUACCGAAAGGUACGGGUAAUCUUUUGAAACUUCGUCGUGCUGGGGAUAGAUCCUUGCAAUUAUUGAUCUUAAACGAGGAAUUCCUAGUAAGCGCAAGUCAUCAACUUGCGUUGAUUACGUCCCUGCCCUUUGUACACACCGCCCGUCGCUACUACCGAUUGAAUGGUUUAGUGAGGCCUUCGGAUCCGCGACUCGUUUUGUGGAGAAGUUGGACAAACUCAGUCAUUUAGAGGAAGUAAAAGUCGUAACA
rnacentral:rRNA from 1 species